rnacentral:rRNA from 1 species
CAGCGCCACGAGUGGCAAUCACAUUUAUUGGGCCUAAAGCGUCCGUAGCUGGUUUGGUAAAUCUUCCGUGAAAUCGUUGGGCUCAACCCAACGGCGUGCAGGAGACACUACUAAACUUGAGACCGGGAGGAGUUAGAGGUAUUUCUUGGGUAGCGGUAAAAUGCAAUAAUCCAAGACAGACCACCUGUGGCGAAGGCGUCUAACUAGAACGGUUCUGACAGUGAGGGACGAAAGCCAGGGGAGCGAACCGGAUUAGAGACCCGAGUAGUCC